CCUACGGGAGGCAGCAGUGAGGAAUAUUGGUCAAUGGGCGCGAGCCUGAACCAGCCAAGUAGCGUGAAGGAUGACUGCCCUACGGGUUGUAAACUUCUGUUAUAAAGGAAUAAAGUGAGGCACGUGUGCCUUUUUGUAUGUACGUUAUGAAUAAGGAUCGGAUAACUCCGUGCCAGCAGCCGCGGUAAUACGGAGGAGCCGAGCGUUAUCCGGAUUUAUGGGGUUUAACGGGAGCGUAGAUGGGUUGUUAAGUCAGUUGUGAAAGUUUGCGGCUCAACCGUAAAAUUGCAAUUGAUACUGGCAGUCUUGCGUACAGUUGCGUUAGGCGGCAUUCGUUGUGUAGCGG
rnacentral:rRNA from 1 species